UCCGUAGGCGGAUUAAUAAGUCAGAGGUGAAAUCCCACAGCUUAACUGUGGAACUGCCUUUGAUACUGUUAGUCUUAAGUUAUAUGGAAGUAGAUAGAAUGUGUAGUGUAGCGGUGAAAUGCAUAGAGAUUACACAGAAUACCGAUUGCGAAGGCAGUCUACUACGUAUAUACUGACGCUAAUGGACGAAAGCGUGGGGAGCGAACAGGAUUAGAUACCCUGGUAGUCC
rnacentral:rRNA from 1 species